GUGGGGAAUAUUGGACAAUGGGCGAAAGCCUGAUCCAGCCAUGCCGCGUGUGUGAAGAAGGUCUUCGGAUUGUAAAGCACUUUAAGUUGGGAGGAAGGGCAGUAAGUUAAUACCUUGCUGUUUUGACGUUACCGACAGAAUAAGCACCGGCUAACUUCGUGCCAGCAGCCGCGGUAAUACGAAGGGUGCAAGCGUUAAUCGGAAUUACUGGGCGUAAAGCGCGCGUAGGUGGUUUUGUAAGUUGGAGGUGAAAUCCCCGGGCUCAACCUGGGAACUGCAUCCAAAACUGGCGAGCUAGAGUACGGUAGAGGGUGGUGGAAUUUCCUGUGUAGCGGUGAAAUGCGUAGAUAUAGGAAGGAACACCAGUGGCGAAGGCGACCACCUGGACUGAUACUGACACUGAGGUGCGAAAGCGUGGGGAGCAAACAGGAUUAGAUACCCGAGUAGUCC
rnacentral:rRNA from 1 species